rnacentral:rRNA from 1 species
GGCCUACGGGGCGCAGCAGUGGGGAAUAUUGCACAAUGGGGGAAACCCUGAUGCAGCGACGCCGCGUGAGUGAAGAAGUAUUUCGGUAUGUAAAGCUCUAUCAGCAGGGAAGAAAAUGACGGUACCUGACUAAGAAGCCCCGGCUAACUACGUGCCAGCAGCCGCGGUAAUACGUAGGGGGCAAGCGUUAUCCGGAUUUACUGGGUAUAAAGGGAGCGUAGACGGUGAUGCAAGUCAGAAGUGAAAGCCCGCGGCUCAACUGCGGGACUGCUUUUGAAACUGUAUGACUAGAGUGCAGGAGAGGU